UGGGGAAUAUUGGACAAUGGGCGAAAGCCUGAUCCAGCCAUGCCGCGUGUGUGAAGAAGGUCUUCGGAUUGUAAAGCACUUUAAGUUGGGAGGAAGGGCAUUAACCUAAUACGUUAGUGUUUUGACGUUACCGACAGAAUAAGCACCGGCUAACUCUGUGCCAGCAGCCGCGGUCAUACAGAGGGUGCAAGCGUUAAUCGGAAUUACUGGGCGUAAAGCGCGCGUAGGUGGUUUGUUAAGUUGGAUGUGAAAUCCCCGGGCUCAACCUGGGAACUGCAUUCAAAACUGACUGACUAGAGUAUGGUAGAGGGUGGUGGAAUUUCCUGUGUAGCGGUGAAAUGCGUAGAUAUAGGAAGGAACACCAGUGGCGAAGGCGACCACCUGGACUAAUACUGACACUGAGGUGCGAAAGCGUGGGGAGCAAACA
rnacentral:rRNA from 1 species